rnacentral:rRNA from 1 species
CCUACGGGACGCACCAGUAGGGAAUCUUCGGCAAUGAACGAAAGUCUGACCGAGCAACGCCGCGUGAGUGAAGAAGGUUUUCGGAACGUAAAAAUCUGUUGGUAGAGAAGAACGUUGGUGAGAGUGGAAAGCUCAUCAAGUGACGGUAACUACCCAGAAAGGGACGGCUAACUACGUGCCAGCAGCCGCGGUAAUACGUAGGUCCCGAGCGCUGUCCGGAUUUAUUGGGCGUAAAGCGAGCGCAGGUGGUUUAUUAAGUCUGGUGUAAAAGGCAGUGGCUCAACCAUUGUAUGCAUUGGAAACUGGUAGACUUGAGUGCAGGAGAGGAGAGUGGAAUUCCAUGUGUAGCGGUGAAAUGCGUAGAUAUAUGGAGGAACACCGGUGGCGAAAGCGGCUCUCUGGCCUGUAACUGGCACUGAGGCUCGAAAGCGUGGGGAGCAAACAGGAUUAGAUACCCCUGUAGUC